CGCGGUAUUUUGACCGUGCGAAGGUAGCAUAAUCAUUAGUCUUUUAAUUGAAGGCUUGUAUGAAGGGUUGGACGAGAAGUGAGCUGUCUCUAUUAAAAAGGAUAUAAUUUAACUUUUAAGUGAGAGGGCUUAAAUAUUCUAAAGGGACGAUAAGACCCUAUAAAGUUUGACAUUUUAUUUAUUAAAAAGUAAAGUGGAAGGGUAAUUUUAAUUAGUAAUAUAUUGUUUUGUUGGGGUGACUGGAAUAUAAAAAAUUUAACUGUUUUAUAUUGUUACAAAGAUGUUUGAGUUUUUGAGCCUUAAUAAAGAUGCAAGAAUAAAUUACUUUAGGGAUAACAGCGCAAUUUUUUUUGAGAGUUCUUAUCGACAAGAAAGUUUGCGACCUCGAUGUUGAAUUAAGGAAUUCUUUAUAGUGCAGAGGCUAUAGAAGAAGGUCUGUUCGACCUUUAA
rnacentral:rRNA from 1 species